AGAACUCAGGCUACAGCUGUGGAACGUGUGUUUCUUCCAACCAGUGAAGACCGGACGCCAUUCCUUCAUGCUACUGGGUUCUUGCAGCUGUAAUUUACAACACAGCUGUCAUAUCUGUGACAUCUGGGCCAGCUCCUCUGUGCCCAACCUCAGCCCUGUUCAGUUUGCCCCUGUACCCCCAAUUCUCCCCAGUAGCCAUCCCUGAACUGCACUUUCUAACUGCGGGAUUGCCCUUGAGUUGGGCUGCUGGAUCCUCCCUCACCCUUGCCUGACGCAGGAAGACAGUCAUCCUCACAGAAGACGAAGUUCAGUUCCACAGCUCGGCCUCAGAUCACAAGGGCGUGAGGAUUAAAGAGAGGAUACCACAGUCGCAAUUCCAGAUUCCUUGAGAUGGAGACCAGGUCUCAAGAGCAGUGCACAGUUUGAAGCACGUGGCAGAUUCUCAAGCAAAAAGAGGAGUUGAAGAUGGAACCAUUGUGAUGGGAAGCUCUGAUUCAUCAAUCGUGAACCACAGCACUCCUCACUUACUCCAUUGUUGACCAAUUUUAACAAGUGGUACGGUUUUCAAAAGCAAGAAGUGGAAGAGCAGGCAUUAAUUCUAAGCCCGGAAAGUGGGAGCAGGAAUUCCAGCACUUUGAGAGGCCAAGGCGGGAAGAUCACCUGAUGUCAGGAGUUCAAGAGCAGCCUGGCCAACGUGGCAAAACCCCAUCUCCACUGAAAAUACAAAAAUUAGCCAGGCGUAGCAGUGCAGGCCUGUAAUCCCAGCUACUUAGGAGGCUGAGGCACAAGAAUUGAUUGAACCUAAGAGGUGGAGGUUGCAGUGAGCCGAGAUCAUGCCACUGCACUCCAGCUUGGGUGACAGAGCAAAACUCAGUCUCAAAAAAAAAGAAUUCCAAAUCAUGAGAAUGAUGACUUGAAAUCGUUGUUCUUGUUCUGCAUCUUUUGUUUAUUUGUUUGUUUUUGUUUUGUUUUGUUGUUCAGUAAAAUGGCAUGGAAUUUUAUUUUAAGUGCUGUGAUACAUGUGCAGGAUGUGCAGGUUUGUUACAUAGGUAAACGUGUGCCCUGAUGGUUUGCCGCACCUAUCAACCCAUCAUCUAGGUAUUAAGACCCACAUGCAUUAGCUAUUUAUCUUGAUGCUUUCCCUUCCCCUACCCGACCUCCUGACAGGCCCCAGUGUGUGUUGUUCUCCUCCCUGUGUCUAUGUGUUCUCACUUUCAGCUCCCAUUUAUAAGUGAGAAGAUGCGGUGUUCGGUUUUCUGUUCCUGUGUUAGUUUGCUGAGGAUAACGGCUUCCAGUUUCAUCCAUUUCCCUGCAAAGAACAUGAUCUUGUUUCUUUUUAUGGCUGCAUAAUAUUCCAUGAUGUACAUGUACCACAUUGUCUUUAUUCAGUCUAUCAUUGAUGGGCAUUUGUGUUGAUUCCAUGUCUUUGCUAUUAUGAAUAGUGCUUCAAUAAACAUACGUG
rnacentral:lncRNA from 1 species